rnacentral:rRNA from 1 species
AGAGUUUGAUCAUGGCUCAGGACGAACGCUGGCGACGUGCUUAACACAUGCAAGUCGAGCGAUGAAACACCUUCGGGUGUGAAUUAGCGGCGAACGGGUGAGGAACACGUGAAGAAUCUGCCUUCAACUCUGGGAUAACUCCGGGAAACCGGGGCUAACACCGGAUAUGAGCCUCGAUCGCAUGAUUGGGGCUGGAAAGUUUUUCGGUUGAAGAUGACUUCGCGGCCUAUCAGCUUGUUGGUGAGGUAAUGGCUCACCAAGGCGACGACGGGUAGCCGGCCUGAGAGGGCGACCGGCCACACUGGGACUGAGACACGGCCCAGACUCCUACGGGAGGCAGCAGUGGGGAAUAUUGGGCAAUGGAGGAAACUCUGACCCAACGACGCCGCGUGAGGGAUGAAGGCCUUCGGGUUGUAAACCUCUUUCAGUAGGGAAGAAGCCAAAGUGACGGUACCUACAGAAGAAGCACCGGCUAACUAUGUGCCAGCAGCCGCGGUAAUACAUAGGGUGCAAGCGUUGUCCGGAAUUAUUGGGCGUAAAGAGCUCGUAGGUGGUUCGAUACUCGGAUGUGAAAAUCAGGGGCUCAACCCCUGACCUGCAUCCGAUACGGUCGAGCUAGAGUUUGGUAGGGGAGACUGGAAUUCCU